UACAGAGGGUGCGAGCGUUAAUCGGAGUUACUGGGCGUAAAGGGCGCGUAGGCGGUGAGAUGAGUGUGAUGUGAAAGCCCUGGGCUUAACCUAGGAAGUGCAUCGCAAACUAUCUGACUGGAGUAUAUGAGAGGGUAGCGGAAUUUCCGGUGUAGCGGUGAAAUGCGUAGAGAUCGGAAGGAACGUCGAUGGCGAAGGCAGCCACCUGGCAUAAUACUGACGCUGAGGCGCGAAAGCGUGGGGAGCGAACAGG
rnacentral:rRNA from 1 species